CAGCCGCCGCGGUAAUACAGAUGGUGCAAGCGUUAAUCGGAAUUACUGGGCGUAAAGCGCGCGUAGGUGGUUUGUUAAGUUGGAUGUGAAAGCCCCGGGCUCAACCUGGGAACUGCAUCCAAAACUGGCAAGCUAGAGUACGGUAGAGGGUGGUGGAAUUUCCUGUGUAGCGGUGAAAUGCGUAGAUAUAGGAAGGAACACCAGUGGCGAAGGCGACCACCUGGACUGAUACUGACACUGAGGUGCGAAAGCGUGGGGAGCAAACAGGAUUAGAUACCCCAGUAGUCCCUGUCUCUUAUAC
rnacentral:rRNA from 1 species